GAUGAACGCUGGCGGCGUGCCUAAUACAUGCAAGUCGAUCGAACAGACGAGGAGCUUGCUCCUCUGACGUUAGCGGCGGAAGGGUGAGUAACACGUGGAUAACCUACCUAUAAGACUGGGAUAACUUCGGGAAACCGGAGCUAAUACCGGAUAAUAUAUUGAACCGCAUGGUUCAAUAGUGAAAGACGGUUUUGCUGUCACUUAUAGAUGGAUCCGCGCCGCAUUAGCUAGUUGGUAAGGUAACGGCUUACCAAGGCAACGAUGCGUAGCCGACCUGAGAGGGUGAUCGGCCACACUGGAACUGAGACACGGUCCAGACUCCUACGGGAGGCAGCAGUAGGGAAUCUUCCGCAAUGGGCGAAAGCUUGACGGAGCAACGCCGCGUGAGUGAUGAAGGUCUUCGGAUCGUAAAACUCUGUUAUUAGGGAAGAACAAAUGUGUAAGUAACUAUGCACGUCUUGACGGUACCUAAUCAGAAAGCCACGGCUAACUACGUG
rnacentral:rRNA from 1 species